rnacentral:rRNA from 1 species
AUUGAACGCUGGCGGCAUGCCUUACACAUGCAAGUCGAACGGCAGCACGGGAGCAAUCCUGGUGGCGAGUGGCGAAUGGGUGAGUAAUAUAUCGGAACGUGCCCAGUCGUGGGGGAUAACGUAGCGAAAGCUACGCUAAUACCGCAUACGAUCUACGGAUGAAAGCGGGGGAUCGCAAGACCUCGCGCGAUUGGAGCGGCCGAUAUCAGAUUAGCUAGUUGGUGGGGUAAAGGCCCACCAAGGCGACGAUCUGUAGCUGGUCUGAGAGGACGACCAGCCACACUGGAACGGAGACACGGUCCAGACUCCUACGUGAGGCAGCAGUGGGGAAUUUUGGACAAUGGGCGCAAGCCUGAUUCAGCAAUGCCGCGUGCAGGAUGAAGGCCUUCGGGUUGUAAACUGCUUUUGUACGGAACGAAACGGUCCUUUCUAAUACAAGGGGCUAAUGACGGUACCGUAAGAAUAAGCACCGGCUAACUACGUGCCAGCCGCCGCGGUAA